UAUUGUUGUGAAAUAAAUCAUAUAAUUCUGAAAAAUGUGUAAUUGUAAAUUUUAAUUGAGAGUUUAUUGAUCCGAAGAUUAAGUGUUCAAGUGGUCUGUCGGCUGAUUCGAAGUUAAGAGCAUAUUAUGACCUUGAUAAGGCGAUAUCAUCAUAAAAGGGAAAGAAAAGACUUCCUUUUCUGAAAUAAAAGAGUUUUGAUUUAAAGAUUUACAAGAAAAUCUUAACAUUCCAAGUUUCUACUUCUACAUAAAAACAUUCCCAAUUUUUAAAGACGAUGGAUUUCUUAAAAGUUAUAAUUGUUCUCGUUUUUGGUCUUACAUUAAGCUGUGUUUACUCCUUUGAAAUUCCAAAGGAAUGCCUUGGAAUAGAACCAAAUGCGAUUGGAGUUUGCCGUAAGGUAUUUUUCGGUUAUUAUUUCAAUAAUAUCACAAAGAAAUGUCAAAAAUAUGAAACAUUUGGAUGUUAUUUGGAGAACGGAAGUGCCAAUAGUUUUCACACGUUGAGGGAAUGUGUCAAGAAGUGCAAGAAGCCAUCAAGCAAGCUGUCAAAUAGUUCGACCUGAUUCUUUAAUAAAAUGAACUGAUUUAAACAAAUUUAAUGCA